rnacentral:tRNA from 1 species
AAGGCUUUAGCUUAAUUAAAGUGUCUGUUUUGCAUGCAGAAGAUGUGGGUUAAUGUCCCGCAAGUCUUA